rnacentral:pre_miRNA from 1 species
CAAGUACUCCCUCCCUCCUAAAAUUCUUGUCUUAAAUUUGUUUAGAUAUGAAUGUAUCUAGUCAAGUUUUAGUAUUUAGAUACAUUCAUUUUUAAAUAAAUCUAAGACAAGAAUUUUGGGACGGAGGAAGUAAUAU